rnacentral:lncRNA from 1 species
CUCCCUCUGUCUCCCUCUCCCCACGGUCUCCCUCUCAUGCGGAGCCGAAGCUGGACUGUACUGCUGCCAUCUCGGCUCACUGCAACCUCCCUGCCUGAUUCUCCUGCCUCAGCCUGCCCAGUGCCUGCAAUGGCGCCGCCACGCCUGACUGGUUUUGGUGGAGACGGGGUUUCGCUGUGUUGGCCGGGCCGGUCUCCAGCCCCUAACCGCGAGUGAUCCCGCCAACCUCAGCCUCCCGAGGUGCCGGGAUUGCAGACGGAGUCUCGUUCACUCAGUGCUCAAUGGUGCCCAGGCUGGAGUGCAGUGGCGUGAUCUCGGCUCACUACAACCUACACCUCCCAGCCGCCUGCCUUGGCCUCCCAAAGUGCCGAGAUUGCAGCCUCUGCCCGGCCGCCACCCCGUCUGGGAAGUGAGGAGCCUCUCUGCCUGGCCGCCCAUCGUCUGGGAUGUGAGGAGCCCCUCUGCCUGGCUGCCCAGUCUGGAAAGUGAGGAGCGUCUCCGCCCGGCCGCCAUCCCAUCUAGGAAGUGAGGAGCGCCUCUUCCCAGCCGCCAUCACAUCUAGGAAGUGAGGAGCGUCUCUGCCCGGCCGCCCAUCGUCUGAGAUGUGGGGAGCGCCUCUGCCCCGCCGCCCCAUCUGGGAUGUGAGGAGUGCCUCUGCCCGGCUGAGACCCCGUCUGGGAGGUGAGGAGCGUCUCUGCCCGGCCGCCCCGUCUGAGAAGUGAGGAGACCCUCUGCCUGGCAACCACCCCGUCUGAGAAGUGAGGAGCCCCUCCGCCCGGCAGCUGCCCCGUCUGAGAAGUGAGGAGCCUCUCCGCCCGGCAGCCACCCCAUCUGGGAAGUGAGGAGCAUCUCCGCCCAGCAGCCACCCCGUCCGGGAGGGAGGUGGGAGGGGGUCAACCCCCCGCCCGGCCAGCCGCCCCAUCUGGGAGGGAGGUGGGGGGUCAGCCCCCCCGACCGGCCAGCCGUGCCAUCCGGGAGGGAGGUGGGGGGGUCAGCCCCCCGCCCGGCCAGCCGCCCCGUCCGGGAGGUGAGGGGUGCCUCUGCCCGGCCGCCCCUACUGGGAAGUGAGGAGCCCCUCAGCCCGGCCAGCCACCCCGUCCGGGAGGGAGAUGGGGGGGUCAGCCCCCCCACCCGGCCAGCCGCCCCGUCCGGGAGGGAGGUGGGGGGGUAAGCCCCCCGCCUGGCCAGCCGCCCCGUCAGGAAGGGAGGUGGGGGGGUCAGCCCUCCGCCCGGCCAGCCGCCCCGUCCGGGAGGUGAGGGGCGCCUCUGCCCGGCCGCCCCUACUGGGAAGUGAGGAGCCCCUCUGCCCGGCCAGCCGCCCCGUCCGGGAGGGAGGUGGGGGGGGUCAGCCCCCCGCCCGGCCGGCCGCCCUGUCCGGGAGGGAGGUGGGGGGGGUCAGCCCCCCGCCUGGCCAGCCGCCCUGUCCGGGAGGGAGGUGGGGGGGGGUCAGCCCUCCGCCCGGCCAGCCGCCCCGUCUGGGAGGUGAGGGGCGCCGCUGCCCGGCCGCCCCUACUGGGAAGUGAGGAGCCCCUCUGCCCGGCCAGCCGCCCCGUCCGGGAGGGAGGUGGGGGGGGUCAGCCCCCCGCCCGGCCGGCCGCCCUGUCCGGGAGGGAGGUGGGGGGGUCAGCCCUCCGCCCGGCCAGCCGCCCCGUCCGGGAGGUGAGGGGCGCCUCUGCCCGGCCGCCCCUACUGGGAAGUGAGGAGCCCCUCUGCCCGGCCAGCCGCCCCGUCCCGGAGGGAGGUGGGGGGGGUCAGCCCCCCUGCCCGGCCAGCCGCCCCGUCCGGGAGGUGAGGGGCGCCUCUGCCCAGCCGCCCCUACUGGGAAGUGAGGAGCCCCUCUGCCCGGCCAGCCGCCCCGUCCGGGAGGGAGGUGGGGGGGGUCAGCCCCCCCGCCCGGCCAGCCGCCCCGUCCGGGAGGUGAGGGGCGCCUCUGCCCGGCCGCCCCUACUGGGAAGUGAGGAGCCCCUCUGCCCGGCCACCACCCCGUCUGGGAGGUGUGCCCAACAGCUCAUUGAGAACGGGCCAGGAUGACAAUGGCGGCUUUGUGGAAUAGAAAGGCAGGAAAGGUGGGGAAAAGAUUGAGAAAUCGGAUGGUUGCCGUGUCUGUGUAGAAAGAAGUAGACAUGGGAGACUUUUCAUUUUGUUCUGCACUAAGAAAAAUUCC